rnacentral:rRNA from 1 species
UCUUGGUCANNNNGAGGAAGUAAAAGUCGUAACAAGGUUUCCGUAGGUGAACCUGCGGAAGGAUCAUUAUUGAAUAAACCUGAUGUGACUGUUAGCUGGCUUUUCGAAGCAUGUGCUCGUCCAUCAUCUUUAAUCUCUCCACCUGUGCACAUUUUGUAGUCUUGGAUACCUCUCGAGGCAACUCGGAUUUUUAGGAUCGCCGUGCUGUACAAGUCGGCUUUUCUUUCAUUUCCAAGACUAUGUUUUUAUAUACACCAAAGUAUGUUUAAAGAAUGUCAUUAAUAGGAACUUGUUUCCUAUAAAAUUAUACAACUUUCAGCAACGGAUCUCUUGGCUCUCGCAUCGAUGAAGAACGCAGCGAAAUGCGAUAAGUAAUGUGAAUUGCAGAAUUCAGUGAAUCAUCGAAUCUUUGAACGCACCUUGCGCUCCUUGGUAUUCCGAGGAGCAUGCCUGUUUGAGUGUCAUUAAAUUCUCAACCUUCCAACUUUUAUUAGCUUGGAUAGGCUUGGAUGUGGGGGUUGCAGGCUUCAUCAAUGAGGUCAGCUCUUCUUAAAUGCAUUAGCGGAACUUUUGUGGACUGUCUAUUGGUGUGAUAAUUAUCUACGCCGUGGAUGAAAAACAGCUUUAUCAAGUUCAGCUUCUAACCGUCCAUUGACUUGGACAAUUUUGACAAUUUGACCUCAAAUCAGGUAGGACUACCCGCUGAACUUAAGCAUAUCAUNNNGCGGAGGAA